rnacentral:rRNA from 1 species
GAAUCUUGCACAAUGGGGGAAACCCUGACGCAGCGACGCCGCGUGGGUGAUGAAGGCCUUCGGGUCGUAAAGCCCUGUCGGAGGGGAAGAAGGAUUGUCGGGCGAAUAGUCCGAUGGUUUGACGGUACCCUUAGAGGAAGCACCGGCUAACCCCGUUCCAGCAGCCGCGGUAAUACGGAGGGUGCUAGCGUUGCUCGGAAUCACUGGGCGUAAAGCGCGUGUAGGCGGUUUCGUGUGUCUGACGUGAAAGCCCCGGGCUCACCCCGGGAAGUGCGUUGGAAACUGCGGAACUAGAGUCCCGGAGAGGGAGGUGGAAUUCCAGGUGUAGCGGUGAAAUGCGUAGAUAUCUGGAAGAACACCGGUGGCGAAGGCGGCCUCCUGGACGGUGACUGACGCUGAGACGCGAAAGCGUGGGGAGCAAACAGG